rnacentral:lncRNA from 1 species
UCUGGGUACAAUUACCCCCUUUGCCUAAAGGAGGAUUGCUUGAUAUCCUAUACAUUACAGGAGUGUAGUUUGAAAGGCAUACGUGGUGUUAGAAAGUCUUUAAUAGUGUAGCCUCUUGAAUGGUCUCUGAAUGUGAGAAAAAGCAAGAGGUGUGGGUGUGCUGCAAGGCUCUUUCCUGCUCCUUACCAAGAUUUCUAUUUCACACAUACUUCACUGGAAACAGCUCUCCAUAAAUUCACAUUCAUUCUUAUUUCACUUGCAUAUCCAGUCAUAAGAGAAAAACUUCUGUUUAAAGCAUAGGCUGGCUUAUCUGACAGUUUGAUCGGAGUGAAGUCUUAGGAAAACUGUGCCUUCGUCAUGUGGGUGGUGAGAUUAAAUGAUAUGCAGUGUAUGCUCAGAGUAGUUGAAUGAUUAGGCACUUACAUCUGUUUAAUUAAAGAAUGAGCUUCAACCUCUGUUUAAUUAAGGACUAGCUCAUUUCAGUUGUGAUAGCAUGCUGGGAGUUUGUGAUUCAAAUCUAAGGAUAGCAGAGAAAAAGAAGUGCCCAGAGGCUAUGAAUGAAACUGCUGAACAUUUCACAGAUACUGCAAGGGGCAAUUUCUGCCCCAUGCAGUUUACAGCAAAAAAUAAGCAAGACAGCCAAAAGCAGGAGGCAAUAACCAAGGGAGGGAUUUGGCAUGAAAUCUGCUGCAAGAACAUGCAAGUGCGGGAAGCAACAGAGAGCUCUGCUGCUGCAGAUUUCCGUCAGGGUUAG